rnacentral:rRNA from 1 species
ACGAACGCUGGCGGCACGCUUAACACAUGCAAGUCGAACGAGAGAAGAGAAGCUUGCUUUUCUGAUCUAGUGGCGGACGGGUGAGUAACACGUGAGCAAUCUGCCUUUCAGAGGGGGAUACCGAUUGGAAACGAUCGUUAAUACCGCAUAAUAUAAUUGAACCGCAUGAUUUGAUUAUCAAAGAUUUAUCGCUGAAAGAUGAGCUCGCGUCUGAUUAGCUAGUUGGUAAGGUAACGGCUUACCAAGGCGACGAUCAGUAGCCGGACUGAGAGGUUGAUCGGCCACAUUGGGACUGAGACACGGCCCAGACUCCUACGGGAGGCAGCAGUGGGGAAUAUUGCACAAUGGAGGAAACUCUGAUGCAGCGAUGCCGCGUGAGGGAAGAAGGUUUUAGGAUUGUAAACCUCUGUCUUCAGGGACGAAAAAAGACGGUACCUGAGGAGGAAGCUCCGGCUAACUACGUGCCAGCAGCCGCGGUAAUACGUAGGGAGCGAGCGUUGUCCGGAAUUACUGGGUGUAAAGGGAGCGUAGGCGGGAUCGCAAGUCAGAUGUGAAAACUAUGGGCUUAACCCAUAAACUGCAUUUGAAACUGUGGUUCUUGAGUGAAGUAGAGGUAAGCGGAAUUCCUAGUGUAGCGGUGAAAUGCGUAGAUAUUAGGAGGAACAUCAGUGGCGAAGGCGGCUUACUGGGCUUUAACUGACGCUGAGGCUCGAAAGCGUGGGGAGCAAACAGGAUUAGAUACCCUGGUAGUCCACGCCGUAAACGAUGAUUACUAGGUGUGGGGGGACUGACCCCUUCCGUGCCGCAGCAAACGCAAUAAGUAAUCCACCUGGGGAGUACGACCGCAAGGUUGAAACUCAAAGGAAUUGACGGGGGCCCGCACAAGCAGUGGAGUAUGUGGAUUAAUUCGAAGCAACGCGAAGAACCUUACCAGGUCUUGACAUCGUAUGCAUAGCUCAGAGAUGAGUGAAAUCUCUUCGGAGACAUAUAGACAGGUGGUGCAUGGUUGUCGUCAGCUCGUGUCGUGAGAUGUUGGGUUAAGUCCCGCAACGAGCGCAACCCUUACUGUUAGUUGCUACGCAAGAGCACUCUAGCAGGACUGCCGUUGACAAAACGGAGGAAGGUGGGGAUGACGUCAAAUCAUCAUGCCCCUUAUGACCUGGGCCUCACACGUACUACAAUGGCUGUAAACAGAGGGAUGCAAAGCCGCGAGGUGGAGCGAACCCCUAAAAGCAGUCUUAGUUCGGAUUGUAGGCUGCAACCCGCCUACAUGAAGUCGGAAUUGCUAGUAAUCGCAGAUCAGCAUGCUGCGGUGAAUACGUUCCCGGGCCUUGUACACACCGCCCGUCACGCCAUGGGAGUCGGUAACACCCGAAGCCUGUAGUCUAACCGCAAGGAGGACGCGGUCGAAGGUGGGAUUGAUGACUGGGGUG